GCAAUCGACCACAGGAUUUGGAAAAACAGGGCUUCCCGUUCGCUCAGCCGUACUUAAGCCAAAUGCCGAUUGUGUUAGUACCAAGGUGGGUGACCACUUGGGAAUCCCAAUUGUUGAUUGUU
rnacentral:rRNA from 1 species